rnacentral:rRNA from 1 species
GACGCACAAAGUGCCAGGAAAGAAUUAUUCAAGCUCUUCCCCAGAAGGCCUCCUUCUGGCAAGGGUACUGUACUAAACUAACUAAAGUGGGGGAUAGUGAGGGGAUAAAUUUUCUUAAGGAACUCGGCAAAAUCCCAAUGGCCCACCAGGGCAUAUUGGAACACGGGCCUCGACUGUUUACCAAAAACAUAGCCCUCGGCUAAUAUGAAAAUAGAUGUAUAGAGGGUGAUGCCUGCCCAAUGGUUGUAUCUAAAAGCGGUUGAUAAAAGUCGACCUCGUAAGGACAAUUGAAUGGCCGCGGUAACACUGACCGUGAUAAUGUAGCGUAAUCAAUAGCCAAUUAAUUGUUGGCCAGUAUGAAUGGCGCCACGAAGGCCCCACUGUCUUAAGGAAAUUCCCAGUGAAAUUGAAUUCGUAGUGAAGAUGCUACGUCCAAUUUGUUAGACGAAAAGACCCCGUUGAGCUUUACUGGGGCACUUACACGGCCCCGGCCUUCCCGUGUCCGGGAACCGGCCGAAUUUAAAUGGGUGGUUUAGACUAUGUGGCAGCCCCCCGCCGGGGCAGAUGAAACCCCACUCCCCCAUGUCAAAGGGGCUAACCCCCUCUUGGGGGGGAGAGUGUAAGUAGGACAGUUUGGUUGGGGCGACCGCCUUUUAAAGAGUAACGAAGGUGCGCUUAAGGUGCGCAAUUAAUGACUGAAGCCUGACUGCGAGGGGGACACCCCGAGCAGACACCCCUAAGCCCGCCCGAAGGGCGGCGGUGGGGUGGGCCAUAGUGACCCGUUAAUUUAGAGUGGAAUAGUUAACGAUCAACGAAUAAAAGUUACCACGGGGAUAACAGCGUAAUAUCGUUAGAGAGUUCACAUCGACGACGAUGUUUGCGACCUCGAUGUUGAAUUGCGGCAUCCUGGGGUGCAGCCGCUCCCAGGUUGU